AUUGAACGCUGGCGGCAUGCUUUACACAUGCAAGUCGAACGGUAACAGGCCGCAAGGUGCUGACGAGUGGCGAACGGGUGAGUAAUGCAUCGGAACGUGCCCAGUCGUGGGGGAUAACGCAGCGAAAGCUGUGCUAAUACCGCAUACGAUCUAUGGAUGAAAGCGGGGGACCGUAAGGCCUCGCGCGAUUGGAGCGGCCGAUGUCAGAUUAGGUAGUUGGUGGGGUAAAGGCUCACCAAGCCAACGAUCUGUAGCUGGUCUGAGAGGACGACCAGCCACACUGGGACUGAGACACGGCCCAGGAUCCUACGGGAGGCAGGAGUGGGGGAUUUUGGGCAAUGGGCGCAAGCCUGGUCCAGCAAUGCCGCGUGCAGGAAGAAGGCCUUCGGGUUGUAAACUGCUUUUGUGCGGAACGAAACGGUGAGCUCUAAUACAGUUUGCUAAUGACGGUACCGUAAGAAUAAGCACCGGCUAACUACGUGCCAGCCGCCGCCGUAA
rnacentral:rRNA from 1 species